GGGGCCAUAGCUCAGCUGGUAGAGCGCCAGCUUUGCAAGCUGGAUGUCGUCGGUUCGACCCCGACUGGCUCCACAA
rnacentral:tRNA from 2 species